UUCUACAGAAGGAAGCAGCUCAAUACAAAAAUGAAUCUAUCCAAAGUAUUUCUAAUCGUCCUGAUUGCUGUCUUUGCUCUGCUCGGCCAAUCUGAAGCAGGGGGACUGAAGGGUUUUGCAAGGAAACUGGGCAAUCUUGGUAAAAAAGCUGUUCAAGCUGGCGCUAAAGUAGCAAAGGUCGUUGCCGUGCUUCAAGCUAAUGGUGUUCCAAUUGGAAAGUGAUCGUUGAAUAAAUAAAAGCAUCAAACAAA